rnacentral:rRNA from 1 species
UUGGCCCUACGGGAGGCAGCAGUUAGGAAUAUUCGUCAAUGGGGGAAACCCUGAACGAGCAAUGCCGCGUGAACGAUGACGGUGCUCUGGAUUGUACAGUUCUGUUGUUUGGGAAGAACGGCUCUAAUAGGAAAUGAUUAGAGAUUGACUGUACCAUUCAAGAAAGCCACGGCUAACUACGUGCCAGCAGCCGCGGUAAUACGUAGGUGGCGAGCGUUAUCCGGAUUUAUUGGUCGUAAAGCGUCCGCAGCCGGUUUAU